AGAGUUUGAUCAUGGCUCAGAGAACGCUGGCGGCAUGCCUGACACAUGCAAGUCGAACGAGACCUUCGGGUCUAGUGGCGCACGGGUGCGUAACGCGUGGGAAUCUGCCCUUGGGUUCGGAAUAACGGUUGAAAUGACUGCUAAUACCGGAUAAUGUCUUCGGACCAAAAGAUUUAUCGCCCAGGGAUGAGCCCGCGUAGGAUUAGCUAGUUGGUGAGGUAAAAGGCUCACCCAAGGCGACGAUCCUUAGCUGGUCUGAGAGGAUGAUCAGCCACACUGGGACUGAGACACGGCCCAGACUCCUACGGGAGGCAGCAGUGGGGAAUAUUGGACAAUGGGGGCAACCCUGAUCCAGCAAUGCCGCGUGAGUGAUGAAGGCCUUAGGGUUGUAAAGCUCUUUUGCCAGGGAAGAUGAUGACUGUACCUGGAGAAUAAGCCCCGGCUAACUUCGUG
rnacentral:rRNA from 1 species